UAUAGGAUCAUGGAAACAGGUGUGCCUAGCAAAAAUGGUGACCGUGGAAAUAACUGGACAUGUUUUUUUUUUACAGUAGCCCCGCUAUUACAUACGACUGAAAAUAAUGAUAUAAAAUCUAUACAUGAGAGGUUAAAUUAGAUCUAAAAAUCGAGGAUCUAGAUCGAAUUUAUUUAGACAUGCAUCAUGUUAAGUUGUUAAGUUGUUAUAUGUAGCUAUGUAAAAUUUUCUUUUUAUGAAUAACUUGAAUCUUGAUGCCGGUUGCCUAUAGGUCCCCACACUGCUCAUCGACUCAUGCGUUAUGUUUUCCUCACUCGUGUGAUUGGUGUUUGCUCUGCAGCUGUGCACGGUGAGAAUAACUUCGUAUUCAAUGGUUGGAUUUUGUUUGGUCCCGGACAAGACUUAACUAGUUCUUGUUUGCAUGUUGCGUUGUACUGACGGAGGGAAAGGGCACGUUACCGGUGAUUGUGGUGGACACAGCAUGGAGGCCGGGGGCGGUGAAGGGAGGGGUCCUGUGUGGAAGGAGCUGGUUGCAACGCCUAAGAGGUUGAUCAAAUCGAAGUUGAUAAUGAACCAAAUAUAGAUUGAAAAUAAUAGAAUUCAGUUCUAUUUCCGAAAAAUUAAUGAAUUGUCAAGAAAGAGGCAAUACUUACCUAAUACGAGGAUCAUGAUGAUAGACGACCCGGUUAGCUGGUUGGCUAAUAGAAUCAUUUUUGGCGUCGACAUAUUAGUCGCAACUAUGAAUCAAGCAUUUUAGAGUGUAGAUACACCAUGAAGAAGAAGUGUGGUGUGAGAUUAUCGAUGGUACAUGUGUUGGGAGCAUAUGAAAGGAGGCUUGAGGAUUUAGCGAUAGAUGAUACUAAGCAUUUCAUAUGCUUGAAAGCAAAUAAACAUCGGCGAGAAGGGUAU
rnacentral:lncRNA from 1 species